UCAGGAUUUAUAUAAGUCAACUUUACCGUGUGAUGCGUUUUCAGAUUCAUCACUCGACAACUUCCUGUUUACCGAACACUUGAAUAUUUUUACACUAUUAAUAUUAUCCACUUGUGGCGGGGGUAUCAUCAGUGAGCAGUAGCUCGCAGUUUCACUUGUUUAACUUACAGAUAUUGUUUUUAUCAGGCAAAUUCAACCAUAUAUUUAGCAGAAGCAGCAUAAAACCAUGCACACCC
rnacentral:lncRNA from 1 species